rnacentral:lncRNA from 1 species
CAGCCACCACCUUAGAGGGAAUGAGAGAUAGAAAAAAAGUGAGAGAUGUGCGUUUCCGAUGUUGAGCACCCUCGUUUCUGGUUUUGUGGUGGUAUGUGUGUCUCGCCGUUGGGUUUUAAUAAGGAGAGGAAGAGACCGAUCUUGAAAGAACUAGGCAAUCAGCUGGAGGUCAGACAGAGGCAGAGAAUAUUUGAGGCAUUGGUGAGAAAACCAUUGUUUUGAGAUGGACACCAAUCGAGAACACAUCAUGGAGUUGUGUCAUUGCAAGAGUUUGUAUGCCUUAGCCGCCAUAACUUUCGAUUCCUGUGCAAGAAUCAACCGAAGAUAAAAAUUCAGGAAACCCUAACUGUUUUCUCUCGACCGCAGCCCAUUACCGGAAGCUGAAUGUAGUAGCAUAUAUUAUAAUUUUUUGUCGAUAUUAUAAUAUUCUUUUAAAGUUGUUUAUACUAAUUUAGUUUCAAAUACUAGUUACUUUUGUAUUCUUUCACUAUUAUUACAAAUCUUAACUAUAAAAAUAAAGC